rnacentral:rRNA from 1 species
UACGUAGGGUGCAAGCGUUGUCCGGAAUUAUUGGGCGUAAAGAGCUUGUAGGCGGUCUGUCGCGUCUGCUGUGAAAAUCCGGGGCUCAACCCCGGACUUGCAGUGGGUACGGGCAGACUAGAGUGUGGUAGGGGAGACUGGAAUUCCUGGUGUAGCGGUGAAAUGCGCAGAUAUCGGGAGGAACACCAAUGGCGAAGGCAGCUCGCUGGGACGGUACUGACGCUGAGGCGCGAAAGCGUGGGGAGCAAACAGG